rnacentral:lncRNA from 8 species
AUGUUUUUUUUCCCUUCUCAUUCCCUCGGUUCUGCAGGCAGUCCCUGGAUGCUGCUAUAUGGUGAGAGCCUGGGACGAAGAACAAGUAGGAGGAGGAGGAGGCACGAUGACUUGACGAAGAAGGGCUCUGGCGUUCGUUCCCUACGCCAUGUUACAUCCUGGCCAGAAACGUGGACUCUCUUGGGAUUUCAUCGUCUCCUUUGAGAAAGGUAGCCAGCCUAUAGGCCUAUCACCCCUGGACCACUAAAAUCUCCACCUCUCUGUCUGUUCUCGUGUUCAGCGCAAGGUAACAGCUAACCCGAGAGUGUUAACAGAGGCUAUGACAGAGGCCACUAGAACGAUGACAUCAGAAAAUCACUUCCCUUUAAAAUAGCAUUUUUGUCGGGGCAUUAUCACGUGAACCGAAGUUGACCGUCAAUGAAUGUUAAACGAUGGUAAAUCAUCGCAGUCCUUUGUUAUAAAUAUAGGCUAUGGACACGUAAUGUCAGUUAAGAUGAAUAACUUUUUAGAUUUAAGAGACGUAAAUUCAACAAACACAAUUGUUUUUUUGUCGAGGUUUGACACCUUCCAUGUGUUUCUUUAAACAUAUGGUGUCAUCAGUGCAUGUGUGUGAAGGGUGUCUAGGCUAGACCUUCUUUUACUGAUCUGUGAGAGCGUGUGAGAACGUCUGGUGUAGGUAUACAUAUACUGUAGCUAACAAACGGGCCUGUCUGUCAUUAUUUAUUUAUUUAUUUCACCUUUAUUUAACCAGGUAGGCCAGUUGAGAACAAGUUCUCAUUUACAACUGCGACCUGGCCAAGAUAAAGCAAAGCAGUGUGACACAAACAAACAACAGAUUCUUAAAGAUGUUUUGGUGGUUUAAUGUGUUACCAAUGUGUUAUAAAUCAUGGAAACAAAAUCUAUAUCUCUGAGCUAGUACCACACAACGUUCAUAGACCUAUUAUGUCAUAUUUUCUGCAAUUAGUGAAUAACCCGGAAAUAAGCAGUGAAAGGAAGGCUAAUGAGGAUCCAUGAGCAGAGCCUUCAUCAAGAUGUCAUGUGCCAAAUGAUCUUGUUUACUAAGACUAGUAAAGUUUAGGUCUGGAAUGAUGUGAAAUAGUGGCAUAACCUGUGUCUCUCUGGACAUGGCUUUUCAAGGUGUCAAUCAUAAUGUACAGGCUAAUAGUGAGAUUUUUAUGACUACACUGUAAAACAUUUCCAGUCAUUUUUACAGUCAAUUACUGGCAGCACAAAAAGCCAGUAAAUUACUGUAGAUUUACAGGACCUUUAAUGUAACACAAAUGUACAGUAUAUUACUGGAACACCUGAUUACAGUAACAUGCUGUAUUUCUAGAAUUUACAGUGCAUUUACUGGAAGCACAGUGGUUAGUAAACUGUUGCAGAGGUACAGUGCCGGUAACUAGUGCCAACAACGGCAGUAUUUCUGUUACAUGUAUUUGAUACAGGUCUUAAGCACAGUGGUUAGUUAACUGUUGCAGGAUACUUUCAAUACCUAGUUUGUAAUUUAUAUUUCACUGGUCUGAACUACAAUUCAUAUAGCCUAUUUUGUAACAGUUUCAUUAGAAUACAUGUAUUUUGUAUUUUAUAAUACAAAUAUAUACUUACAAGUAGCCAGCUUAACUACAGCACUCUCGAUAACGGUAACAUAAUCUCUUUACUUGCUAUGGUUGUGGUAUAUGCCUGUUUACCUUAGUUUAAUACACUGACUGUAAGGCGCUCUGGAUAAAAGGGUCUGCUAAAUGACCAAAAUGUAAAUGUGAACAUGAACACGCAAAGAAAACUGCUGGGUAUUAUUGUUAUGACCUCUGCCCCAAACAAGGCCAAAUUUGAUCAAAAUACAAAUAAUUUGAGGGCGGAGCUCAUUAGAAUAAUACCCAGCAGUGUGCUUUGCAAAUGCAAAUUAUUUUCAUUUACAUUUUUGGUCAUUUAGCAGAUGCUCUUGUACAGAGCGACUUACAUUCAUUGCAUUCAGGUUGAUAAAAAAACAAAAAAAAACAUUUCACAGUCAUAGCAAGUAAAACGUUUCUGUAACCGUUACUGGGAAUGUUGUUGUAGUUAAACAUACAAUGGUCUUCAAAAUUACUUGUAUU